CCUACGGGUGGCAGCAGUGGGGAAUAUUGCACAAUGGGCGCAAGCCUGAUGCAGCAACGCCGCGUGAGCGAUGAAGGCUUUCGGGUUGUAAACUUCUUUUGACAGGGAAGAGUAGAAGACGGUACCUGUCGAAUAAGCCACGGCUAACUACGUGCCAGCAGCCGCGGUAGUACUUAGGUGGCAAGCGUUGUCCGAAUUUACUGGGUGUAAAGGGCGUGUAGCCGGGUUGACAAGUCAGAUGUGAAAUCCUGCGGCUUAACCGGAGAACUGCAUUGGAAACUGUUGAUCUUGAGUACUGGAGAGGCAGAUGGAAUUCCUGGUGUAGCGGUGAAAUGCGCAGAUAUUAGGAGGAACACCAGUGGCGAAGGCGGUCUGCUGGACAGCAACUGACGGUGAGGAGCGAAAGCGUGGGGAGCGAACAGGAUUAGAUACCCGAGUAGUC
rnacentral:rRNA from 1 species